rnacentral:lncRNA from 1 species
CUUGCUCGCUGCUGCUGCCACGUAAGAAGUGUGUUGCUUCCCCUUCGUCUUCCACCAUGAAUAACAGAAUGGCAAUUUUCGUGUGGUGUUAAUUUCCGUGGAAGAAGAAAAGGCUCGACUCUCUGUCCUAUUUUUCAUGAAUACUGGAAGUAGGGAAUAAACCUGGAGUCUCACGGGUGAAAAGAGACAUUUCCAUAUCACCAGACCACAAACGUGGGUGUUGAUUCUAAGGAUACCCCCAAUAAACAUCUUUCGUGCUAAAGCCCAUUCCAGAAUUUACUUCCCAGCUAUCUUUGAUGUUCAUAUUGUCAGAGGUGGUGGCCGCUGAAACAGGCAAAGACAUGGAGCAUAUCUUGGGUCCAGGACCUUGGGAGUCCAGAGGAAGGUCUUUUUACCAUCAGCAUUCUCUACUGUGUUCAAUGACUGUCAGCCAAAGAUGGCCAGCUUUCCUUCAGAAAGAAAUGCAUUCAAAGAACCUACAUUCACAACAUAAAGAAAUAAAGCCUGCACCUACAGAUCUACACACAUGCCCAUGCACAUGCAGGAAGUGUUCAUCUAAGACUGGACCUUUUAGAAGAAAGCUGGCAUACAUUCGUGAAGGCAUGGGCUUCCAGGCAUGUCAUCUUCACUCACGAAGCACACACAAGACCGCCAAGCAUUAAGAUUCUCCUGUGGAGCCAGGCUACAAUCCUUUAAAUGAAGACAGACAGCUAGGUGGCUGCAGCCCAGCGCUACACCUCACCCCUCCCUCAGUGUCAUGCAGAAAAAAUGUAUUCAGAACUCAGAAGUGAAGUUGUGCAAAUCCAUCAUUGACACUAGCUUCAAGGUUACCUCGGGGGAGCAGAAUGUACCCCUGCCAGAGAGCUGGAUAGAUGAUGAUGGGGACAGAAAUUCUGGGGGAGUUGUAAAUGGCAGCCACUGCCUCUAUAGGAAACCCAAAGGGAACACAGCAGAAGAGGAGGUGGUGGAGGAGCCACUGCCCUCUCGAAGGGUUCAAUGUCAUUCUGCAGACACAACCAAAUAACUUUUUCUUCCCUGCUGCUCCUCCAUUUGAAAUGACAGCCCCGAGCUCGCUUUUUCCUUGAUUGUGUAACUCUGAUUACAGACAAGGCCAAGGCAAUCCCAGGGCAUUACUACAAAGCUAAGGGGUCCCCAAAGAACUAAAGAGUCAGCUCCACAAAAAUCCCGAUUCCUAGCAUGAAACUGAAAUAUGAAACCAAACGGGCAUAGAAAAGGUAUGUGCAUUCGAAUCACAUAGCAGUGACUGGAGUCCUGAGCUGUGUCUGAAGACUGUGAGAUCACGUUUGGAGCUGCUGAUUGGUUUUCAGUGAUGGCCCUGUUGCACAGUGCCGUGAGACUUAGCUCCAUGGCCAAAGACGAUGGUAUCCCCUAGGAGCCCUGUGAGGUUGCUGCUGUUCUCUUAAGACACCAGGUAGCCAUCUGAUCCUCCCUGAGCAAACUAACUGGGCAGACAGGUUUAUUAAACCUCUGUUGGUCCGACUUACAUGAAACAAGAGAGUUAUUUUGUUGUUGUUGUUUUGUUUUGUUUUAAAUUAAACCUGUCUUUGGAGCCUCCUGCUCUUAGUUUACAAGUCUUCUUUGCACACUCUAAUAUUUUAAGAAGCAGCAAACAUUAACUGAGGGUCUA